UGUACAGUUCGGGACAAUCGCGCUGUUCCGUUAAGACGGAAUGUGAGGAAAGUCCGGACUCCGCAAACGGGCAGGGAUGCCGGGAGAAAUUCCCGGGUUUUAUGAAUGCAAAUUUAUAAAACAGAAAGUGUCACAGAAAAUAUACCGUCCCGGCAACGGGAUAAGGGUGAAAAGGCAGGGUAAGAGCCUACCAUUCAGAAAGUAAUUUCUGAGAUUGACAAACCUCAUCCGGAGCAAGACCAUGUAUAGGGAAUAGAAGCUCUGCUCACUUCACAUGUUCCCGGGGUAGGUUGCAAAAAUCCUGACAGUAAUGUCAGGAUAAGAUAAAUGAUUGUCACCGGUGAAAACCGGUACAGAAUCCGGCUUACAGAACUGUACAGAAU
rnacentral:RNase_P_RNA from 1 species